rfam:Thiomonas bhubaneswarensis strain DSM 18181 genome assembly, contig: Ga0061069_110
CGGGGCGUAGCGCAGUCUGGUAGCGCAUCUGCUUUGGGAGCAGAGGGUCGGAGGUUCGAAUCCUCUCGCCCCGA